rnacentral:rRNA from 1 species
UACGUAGGGGGCAAGCGUUGUCCGGAUUUAUUGGACGUAAAGAGCGUGUAGGCGGCCAUUCAGGUCAGCUGUGAAAACUCGAGGCUCAACCUCGAGACGUCGGUUGAAACCGUUUGGCUAGAGUCCGGAAGAGGCGAGUGGAAUUCCUGGUGUAGCGGUGAAAUGCGCAGAUAUCAGGAGGAACACCGAUGGCGAAGGCAGCUCGCUGGACGGUACUGACGCUGAGACGCGAAAGCGUGGGAGCAAACAGG